UCUGCAACUCGACUACAUGAAGCUGGAAUCGCUAGUAAUCGCGAAUCAGAAUGUCGCGGUGAAUACGUUCCCGGGUCUUGUACACACCGCCCGUCACACCAUGGGAGUUGGCAACGCCCGAAGUCAGUGACCCAACCAUAAAGGAGGGAGCUGCCGAAGGCGGGGCUGAUAACUGGGGUGAAGUCGUAACAAGGUAGC
rnacentral:rRNA from 1 species